rnacentral:rRNA from 1 species
CGGAGGCAGCAGUGGGGAAUCUUGCACAAUGGGGGAAACCCUGAUGCAGCGACGCCGCGUGAGCGAUGAAGCCCUUCGGGGUGUAAAGCUCUUUCGGCAGGGACGAUGAUGACGGUACCUGCAGAAGCAGCUGCGGCUAACUACGUGCCAGCAGCCGCGGUAAUACGUAGGCAGCAAGCGUUGUUCGGAGUUACUGGGCGUAAAGGGUGCGUAGGCGGUUCUUUAAGUUCGGUGUGAAAUCUCCCGGCUCAACUGGGAGGGUGCGCCGGAAACUGAAGAGCUAGAGUGCGGGAGGGGAGAGUGGAAUUCCUGGUGUAGCGGUGAAAUGCGUAGAUAUCAGGAGGAACACCUGUGGUGCAAACGGCUCUCUGGACCGUAACUGACGCUGAGGCACGAAAGCGUGGGGAGCAAACAGGAUUAGAUACCCCGGU